rnacentral:rRNA from 1 species
UACGUAGGGAGCAAGCGUUGUCCGGAAUCAUUGGGCGUAAAGAGCGUGUAGGCGGCCCGGUAAGUCGGUUGUGAAAGUCAAGGGCUCAACCCUUGAAAGCCGACCGAUACUGUCGGGCUAGAAUCCGGAAGAGGCCGAGUGGAAUUCCUGGUGAGCGGUGAAAUGCGCAGAUAUCAGGAGGAACACCGAUGGCGAAGGCAGCUCGCUGGGACGGUAUUGACGCUGGAGACGCGAAAGCGUGGGAGCAAACAGG